GGGCAUUUGGUCAAGGGGUAUGAUUCUUGCUUAGGGUGCGAGAGGUCCUGAGUUCAAUUCUCGGAAUGCCCG
rnacentral:tRNA from 1 species